rnacentral:pre_miRNA from 1 species
UAGUCUUCCACAGCUUUCUUGAACUGCAUCUAUCCUUCAAAAGGAAGAUUUGGGUUCAUGUUUGCGGUUCAAUAAAGCUGUGGGAAAUUA